UAUACAGCGAAACUGCGAAUGGCUCAUUAUAUAAGUUAUCGUUUAUUUGAUAGUGCCUUACUACUUGGAUAACCGUGGUAAUUCUAGAGCUAAUACAUGCUAAAAACCCCGACUUCGGAAGGGGUGUAUUUAUUAGAUACAAAACCAAUGCCCUUCGGGGCUCUUUGGUGAUUCAUGAUAACUAUACGAAUCGCACGGCCUUGCGCCGGCGAUGGUUCAUUCAAAUUUCUUCCCUAUCAACUUUCGAUGUUUGGGUAUUGGCCAAACAUGGUUGCAACGGGUAACGGAGGGUUAGGGCUCGACCCCGGAGAAGGAGCCUGAGAAACGGCUACUACAUCCAAGGAAGGCAGCAGGCGCGCAAAUUACCCAAUCCCGACUCGGGGAGGUAGUGACAAUAAAUACUGAUACAGGGCCCUUUCGGGCCUUGUAAUUGGAAUCACUCCCACUUAAAUCCCUUAACGAGGAACAAUUGGAGGGCAAGUCUGGUGCCAGCAGCCGCGGUAAUUCCAGCUCCAAUAGCGUAUAU
rnacentral:rRNA from 1 species